AGAGUAGUAAUUUAGCCAAAUUGUAAAAGAAAGAAAAUCAGGAUCCAAAUUCCAAACCAUAUGUAAACAGUAAACCAAACUGGACUGAGGCGAGAAGGAGUAGAGCAUAGUAUGGAGCACACAGUCUCAAACUCAAGCAGUGUCGAGCAGAUUCUGAAUCUUCUCUACGCAGCCGGCUACGUCGACGCCACAAAUCCCGAUGCGCCGCCGUCUCAGAAAAUCGCCGCCGGCCUCUCCUGGUGCAUCGCCGCCAUAACAGGCGACGACAACACACGUGACAUCGAGGAAUCGUUUGGAUUAGUUGGAUGCCCGCACCCUCUGCGAUCCUCUCACAUUCAGGAUCUUGAUACCGAUGCUCUUUUUCCUGUAAUUCAGUGGCUUGCGUCACACAUUCGGCAAAAUCAAGAACACUGUGUCAAUGAGGUUCAUCAUGCUGAAAAUACCAUUGAAGUGGAUGAGUGUAGAACUUCGAUUCAGGCAUUAAGUGGCAACUUGGAUGAACUGAAUCAGCGGAAGAUGAAUGUUGUGAAGCAAUUAUAUAUUCUACAAGAGAGAAUCAAUAAGGAGGGUGCUGAUUCUGCAGUACAGAAGUUGCUUUCUUUACUGACAUCUUUGAAGAAUCUUGAAAAGCAGGAAAAAUACUUUCAGUCCAAUCGUGAUGCUAAACACUCAGAACUUCAAGAUGAUAUUAGUGAAUUAGAGAGGAAAAUAACAAAUGACAGUGAUAAUGAGAACCUUCCUGAUGAACUACAUCAUUCAUUUGGUGAAUUAGUUGAAAAAGUCAAUUUGAUGAAAAAGCAACUUGCUGCUAGACUGAGGGAUAUUGUGGUAUUAAGACGACAGAUUGAUGACCUACCGUGCCAAUCAGAAGUCAUCCAGUACGAACGCCGGCUCUCAGAACUGUAUGCACAAAUCCAGGGAAAACAUCGACAAACUCGUAAAUACUAUGCUACCUACAAUGCUCUCUUGGAAAUAAAAGAAUUGAUGCUAAAGGAAACAUCUUUAUUGAAUUCGAUCAUUUCCCAGUUUCAAGAGGCCUUUAGUAGCACUGAUGGACGUAUAAAACUUGUUCAUUCCAUGGAAGGAAUUGUCAAGGGAAGUCAACAGAAGCUAGAAAGGGUUCAUGUAGGACUUCAAGAAGAAGAGAGAAUUCGUAAUGAUCUGAAGGAUAGGUAUGCUGCAGCAACCGGUGAGCACAAGCACUGCUAUUCUCUGUUGAAAGCUUUUCAGGCCCAAUGUGCGAAGAAUUAGAGGUUUCGAUGACAAGACAACUUUGAGGUUGAGUUGCACAAAGUACUGUAUCGCGUCAAAGCGUAGAGGUUGCGUUCAUGCUCAUAAAAUCUGUAUUUUAAAGCUGAUGCCAUGAGUUGUUUCUCUGUAACUGUAGACGAUCCCAGUAAGGGUGGAGAAUUCUCCAAUUGAAAUUUACUUUAACGUAAAUUUACUAAGGAUUGAAUUUUUUUAUA